UGGAUCCAGACUUUGAUCAUGGCUCAGGAUGAACGCUAGCUACAGGCUUAACACAUGCAAGUCGAGGGGCAGCAUGACGAUAGCUUGCUAUUGUUGAUGGCGACCGGCGCACGGGUGAGUAACGCGUAUCCAACCUGCCCUUGUCCAUCGGAUAACCCGUCGAAAGACGGCCUAACACGAUAUGCAGUUCUCAGCAGGCAUCUAACGAGAACGAAAUGUGAAGGAGAAGGAUGGGGAUGCGUCUGAUUAGCUUGUUGGCGGGGUAACGGCCCACCAAGGCGACGAUCAGUAGGGGUUCUGAGAGGAAGGUCCCCCACAUUGGAACUGAGACACGGUCCAAACUCCUACGGGAGGCAGCAGUGAGGAAUAUUGGUCAAUGGGCGAGAGCCUGAACCAGCCAAGUAGCGUGCAGGAUGACGGCCCUAUGGGUUGUAAACUGCUUUUAUGCGGGGAUAAAGUGAGCCACGUGUGGCUUAUUGCAGGUACCGCAUGAAUAAGGACCGGCUAAUUCCGUGCCAGCAGCCGCGGUAAUACGGAAGGUCCGGGCGUUAUCCGGAUUUAUUGGGUUUAAAGGGAGCGUAGGCCGUCUGGUAAGCGUGUUGUGAAAUGUCGGGGCUCAACCUGGGCAUUGCAGCGCGAACUGUCAGACUUGAGUGCGCGGGAAGUAGGCGGAAUUCGUCGUGUAGCGGUGAAAUGCUUAGAUAUGACGAAGAACUCCGAUUGCGAAGGCAGCCUGCUGUAGCGCAACUGACGCUGAAGCUCGAAAGCGUGGGUAUCGAACAGGAUUAGAUACCCUGGUAGUCCACGCGGUAAACGAUGGAUGCUCGCUGUUUGCGUCUGACGUAAGCGGCCAAGCGAAAGCGUUAAGCAUCCCACCUGGGGAGUACGCCGGCAACGGUGCAACUCAAAUGAAUUGACGGA
rnacentral:rRNA from 1 species